CCCGCUGAAACUUAAGCAUAUCAAUAAGCGGAGGAAAAGAAACCAACAGGGAUUGCCCUAGUAACGGCGAGUGAAGCGGCAACAGCUCAAAUUUGAAAUCUGGCUCUUUCAGAGUCCGAGUUGUAAUNUGCAGAGGGCGCUUUGGCGUUGGCAGCGGUCCAAGUUCUUUGGAACAGGACGUCACAGAGGGUGAGAAUCCCGUACGUGGUCGCUAUCCUUCGCCGUGUAAAGCCCCUUCGACGAGUCGAGUUGUUUGGGAAUGCAGCUCUAAAUGGGAGGUAAAUUUCUUCUAAAGCUAAAUACUGGCCAGAGACCGAUAGCGCACAAGUAGAGUGAUCGAAAGAUGAAAAGCACUUUGGAAAGAGAGUCAAACAGCACGUGAAAUUGUUGAAAGGGAAGCGCUUGCAGCCAGACUUGCCUGUAGUUGCUUAUCCGGACUUUUGUCCGGUGCACUCUUCUAUAGGCAGGCCAGCAUCAGUUUGGGCGGUUAGAUAAAGGUCUCUGUCAUGUACCUCUCUUCGGAGAGGCCUUAUAGGGGAGACGACAUGUAACCAGCCUGGACUGAGGUCCGCGCAUCUGCUAGGAUGCUGGCGUAAUGGCUGUAAGCGGCCCGUCUUGAAACACGGACCAAGGAGUCUAACAUCUAUGCGAGUGUUUGGGUGUCAAGCCCAGACGCGUAAUGAAAGUGAACGGAGGUAAGAACCCUUUGGGUGCAUUAUCGACCGAUCCUGAUGUCUUCGGAAGGAUUUGAGUAAGAGCAUGGCUGUUGGGACCCGAAAGAUGGUGAACUAUGCUUGAAUAGGGUGAAGCCAGAGGAAACUCUGGUGGAGGCUCGCAGCGGUUCUGACGUGCAAAUCGAUCGUCAAAUUUGGGCAUAGGGCGAAAGACUAAUCG
rnacentral:rRNA from 1 species